rnacentral:rRNA from 1 species
AUGCCGGAGUCGGACAAUGACUCCGGCGGGCCGAGCAACACCGGCGGGGAGGGGGAGCUGUCGUCGCCGCGGGAGCAGGACCGCUUCCUGCCCAUCGCCAACGUCAGCCGCAUCAUGAAGAAGGCGCUCCCGGCCAACGCCAAGAUCAGCAAGGACGCCAAGGAGACGGUGCAGGAGUGCGUCUCCGAGUUCAUCUCCUUCAUCACCGGCGAGGCCUCCGACAAGUGCCAGCGCGAGAAGCGCAAGACCAUCAACGGCGACGACCUGCUCUGGGCCAUGACCACCCUCGGCUUCGAGGACUAUGUCGACCCGCUCAAGCACUACCUCCACAAGUUCCGUGAGAUCGAGGGCGAGAGGGCCGCCGCCACGUCAACGUCAACGUCAACCACGCCCGACAUGCCAAGAAACAACAACAACAAUGCCACCGGUUACGCCGACGCCCCGGGAGGCAUGAUGAUGAUGGGGCAGCCCAUGUACGGCUCGCCGCCGCCGCCACAACAGCAGCAGCAGCACCAACAUCAGAUUGCAAUGGGAGGGAGAGCGGGCUUUCCCUAUCUCGGAGGCGGCGGCGGGUCGUCGUCAUCGUCGGGGUUCGGACGGAAAGAGUGA